rnacentral:snoRNA from 1 species
CGCCUCGACGACGAGGACCUCGUCUCCUACAUCCUAGCUGGCCUGGACAUCGACUUCAACCCUGUCGUCACGGCGGUCGCGUCUCGCGUCGAGCCGAUCUCUGUGAGCGAGUUGUUCGCGCAGCUCGUCAGCUUCGAGA